rnacentral:lncRNA from 1 species
GCCCCGUCUCCAUACUAACCUAAUAUCAAAUAUACAAGGUUUCCACGAGGACGCUUUUAAUCAAUCAGAUUCCUAGAAAUGUAUAGGAGGUAAGAUAAAGAUUUAUACAUGAUCCCUCACAACAAAAAAGACACAACGUGCAUAUUUAAGAGUACAAGUUUAUACAUGAUCCGUCACGACUAUAAAGACUAACCGUUCAGAUAUUAG